rnacentral:snRNA from 1 species
AUCGCUUCUCCGCCUUUUAGCUAAGAUUAAGUGUAGUAUCUGUUCUUAUCAGUUUAAUAUCUGUUACGUCCUCUAUCUGAGGACAAUAUAUUCAAUGGAUUUUUGGAAUUAGGAGAUGGAAUAGGAGCUUGCUCCGUCCACUCCACACAUCGACCUGGUAUUGCAGUACCUCCAGGAACGGUGCACAAAAA